UCCCAAUGUAACUAUAUCUAAUUAACGUAGCCAAAGAAAUGAAACAAUAGGGCAAGUGUUCAAAGAUAUUUGUACAAGGAUGUUGGGAGAGCCAGGAUUUGAAAGAUGGAGUACUCAAAUUCUGACCUCAAUCUACAGGCUGUGUGAGAUCUUAGUUUUUUCAGCUGCAUAGUAUUCUAUUGCCUGGAUAUACAUAAUUUAUGAACCAGCCUCUUCGGGUGGGAUACUUUGUUUCCAAUCUUUUGCUGUUGCAAACAAGGCUACAGUGAAUCGCCUUGUACAUAUGACACUGCAUAUGUGGGUGCUAGCCUGAGGGGUCCUGUGAACAAGACCCCUAGGACCCCGAAACCCCGCUUUGCUGACUGGAGUCCAUCCUCCCAACCCAUGAUGCUGAAUAGAGAACAUCUGUGCUCAUCUGGGUGGAAUCUUGGGCAUUCCAGAACAUAGGAAGGAACCAAGAGGGGAAAACUUCUCUUUGAGGAACAGAAUACUGUCUCCUAGAGGGAGGAGAUGGUCUUCAGGCUGACAGAUGUGCAGAGGGGAUUGGAUAAAGGCAGAGAGCAAAUCAAAGGUGACAAUGCCAGUUAUGGGUGGGGGGGGGACAGGUGCAGGGAGAGAGAAGCACUUGGAUAGCUAUACGAGCACUGUCCUAUAGAAAUAAAAUCUAAAAUUUGAAA